rnacentral:pre_miRNA from 1 species
AAUGGAAUAACUGGGUCAAAUGGUGGUUCCAGUCCAAGUUUUCUGAGGAAUCCAUACUGCUUUUCAGAUUGGUUGUACCAAUUUGCAGUCCCACCAGCAAU